CGUGCAUACCGUGCGAGAGGCAGACGCGGGGGGUAGCUUAACUUUACGCUCCCCGGAAACAUCAGUCUACGUGGAGAAAGCCCUUCAUCUUUAAUGUACACAAAAAUCUGGCUGGUGUUUCUCAGUGCUGGAAGCCAGAAAAUCCAUGAUGCACAGUUUAGGAUCUUGUAACAAGUGCUUCUUUUCUUUCCAUUGUACAACGUUAUCUUUCUUCAAGCAACCUCUGGUAACCUCAGAUCAUCUUAAUUCUUUGCAAAUUUAGGUAAUAACAAUAUAUUCUAAAACUCCCAAGGAUGUGAAUGAAACAAUUUGAUUGAAGGUUCUAACAUUCAAUUACUCUAAGAAAUCAGUAAUAAAUUCUACUGCACAUAUGAUUGGUCCUAUGGAGUUCUGGGUGCAUUCUUCUCAGAUACAGCUUACGUAUGUGUUGCAUUGGUUAAACAGCCCAGCCAACGAUAAGUAACUACCAUACUGGACCUACCCACGGUCACAUUCACUAGUAUCUUGUCAAGACAUGCAACAUCAAACACCAACACCCUGGAUAAAAAUGACUUUUAAAAUUGCUUUAUUAUUCAGGCAUUAGAGACUAAUAUGCUGUCAAUAUCAAUGUAAAGAGCUCAGGGGGCUGCAUCUUGAGAUACAAAUGUCUGUGUCACUUCUGGAGGUGGAAUCAGAUGCAUAAGUUUUUUUUCUUCCCCAUUUCUGUGCUCUCCUUACCUGGUGUGUGUAUAUCUAAGACAUUAUAAUGAAACAUCUGGGAGCUCUGCCAUCUCCGCCCUGAGGAUUAACUUUACUGUGGCCCUUAAACUUCUCCUAUUAUGGCUUCUUCUAGAAUACUCGUGCUUACAUUUGACCCUUGACUAAUAGAAGCUCUGCUUUUGCUCUGUGUUGAUACAUUGUGAGGAUGGUGGCAGGGACGGAUAGCUGCACCAUCCCUAGAUUUUGCAGUGCCCUGUGUGAAAUAAGAUAUACAACACUUCCUGCCCUUCCACAAUCUGCAUUCCACAGCAAAGGGUGGUAGGGUUUGGCAGCUAGAUAGGUCAGGGUCAGGUCUUGACAAAAUGCUCCCUCAGCCCUUCCUCCCCUCCUUACAAAAAUCACAGAGCCUUGGGCAAUUCAACAUUAGGUGCAGACCUAGUGUCAGCCAUGUGGGUUAGAGAUAUUACUGGCUCUAAUGAAGCAUUCCUGUUAAAACUGUGUCAGUGUCUCCUUUUGGGAUCCUUGCACACUUUGUUUGAAUAGCUCACUCUGAAUAGCCUUCAUUGGGCUUGCAUGAGUCAGUUAAAAAUUUUGCAAUAUUAUGAGAAAUACUCAAUUAUGUUACUCAUAUAUAAAAUAGAAAAAUAUAAAGCAGAUAUGUUGUACAUCUUUGAAUGUGAUUUCCACUUAAAGGGAGCAUAAAUUGUAAAUGUAUUACAAUGUUGAAAUGUUUCACCUUUCCUAAAUCAAACCACCAUCAUCAUGUUAUGUAGUCAGAUCACUCGUACAUUUUGAAUUUUAUGGUACAGUAUGUUUGAAUAAAAUUUGUGUAAACAUAUUUAUAAUUAAUUCAAUCCAUACAUUUAAUUUCUGAAAUACAGUACAAGCAAACAUUGCCUCAAUGCAUCUUCACUGAUUUAUUCUGGAAACAAAUAUUAAAUAAAAGAGCAUAAAUAGUACAUAAUCCUUGUUAGAAAAUAAGAUCAUCCUCUUUUUUGAAGAUUGGUUAUUCAGGAAAAUAUGUAGGCAAUGAAUUUGCAAACACUUCAGAAAUGUUUUAUAUAGCUGAAGAUCAGAAUAAAUGUUUAGUAUUAGCAGUUGGAUUUAACAGUAUGUUACUUCUGAGGAACUGUUUUUGAUGGAUUAAAGUUACAUUGCUUCCCAUCUUUCAUAAACCUGAAAAAACUUGAGGAGCUUGUCCCUUCAGACUAGACAAAUUGAGUCCAAUGAUGUGACAAAUUAAUAGUAAUAAUUAAAUGAUUACUUUUGUAUAUUCAGGUUGUUCUGUUUUCAAAGCCUUUGUUUUUGCUUGCCUCAAAGUUUGGCACUAAUUCAAUGGAUCUCCAUUAUGAAUUAUAAAUUCAAUAUUAUAUAUUAGUGCAAAAAUUAAGUUGUACAAAUAA